GAUGAACGCUAGCGGCAGGCCUAAUACAUGCAAGUCGAACGAGAUUGUUGUAGCAAUAUGACAUGAAAGUGGCGCACGGGUGCGUAACACGUAUGCAAUCUACCUCUAAUUGGAGCAUAGCCUCGAGAAAUCGGGAUUAAUACUCCAUAACAUAAUUAAGUGGCAUCAUUUGAUUAUCAAACCUCCGGGGAUUAGAGAUGAGCANGCGCAACAUUAGCCAGUUGGUAAGGUAAUGGCUUACCAAGGCUACGAU
rnacentral:rRNA from 1 species